AGCAGCCGCGGUAAUUCCAGCUCCAAUAGCGUAUAUUAAAGUUGUUGCAGUUAAAAAGCUCGUAGUUGAAUUUCGGGAUCAGUACGCUGGUCAUGCCUUUGGUAUGCACUGGUGUCACUGGUUUCUCCCUUCUGAAGAUCCGUGAUGUCAUUAAUUUGGUGUCGCGGGGAAUCAGGACUGUUACUUUGAAAAAAUUAGAGUGUUUAAAGCAGGCUCACGCUUGAAUACAUUAGCAUGGAAUAAUGAAAUAGGACGUUCGAUCCUAUUUUGUUGGUUUCUAGGAUUGACGUAAUGAUUAAUAGGGAUAGUUGGGGGCAUUAGUAUUCAAUUGUCAGAGGUGAAAUUCUUGGAUUUAUUGAAGACUAACUACUGCGAAAGCAUUUGCCAAGGAUGUUUUCAUUAAUCAAGAACGAAAGUUAGGGGAUCGAAGACGAUCAGAUACCGUCGUAGUCUUAACCAUAAACUAUGCCGACUAGGGAUCGGAUGAUGUUAAUUUUUUAAUGACUCAUUCGGCGCCUUACG
rnacentral:rRNA from 1 species